UACAGAGGGUGCAAGCGUUAUUCGGAAUUACUGGGCGUAAAGCGCAUGUAGGUGGGUAAACAAGUCGGAUGUGAAAUACCGGGGCUUAACUCCGGAAUGGCAUUCGAAACUGAUUAUCUUGAGCACGGAAGAGGAAGAUGGAAUUCUAGGUGUAGAGGUGAAAUUCGUAGAUAUCUAGAGGAACACCUGAGGCGAAGGCGGUUUUCUGGUCCGUAGCUGACGCUGAGAUGCGAGAGCGUGGGUAG
rnacentral:rRNA from 1 species